UGGUUGGAGGCUAACGCAGGGAACUGAAACAUCUUAGUACCUGCAGGAAAAGAAAAUAAAUAAUGAUUCCCCUAGUAGUGGCGAGCGAACGGGGAUUAGCCCAAACCACCCAUGUUACGGCAUGUGUGGGGUUGUAGGACCACGCUCUCGCAAGACAGUUAUUGAGAAGAAACGACUGGAAAGUCGUGCCAUAGACGGUGAUAGCCCGGUAUUCUAAGGUAACCGAAGCGUAGUGGUAUCCUGAGUAGCGCGGAGCACGAGGAAUUCUGCGUGAAUCAGCCGGGACCAUCCGGUAAGGCUAAAUACUCCCGAGAGACCGAUAGCGAACCAGUACUGUGAAGGAAAGGUGAAAAGCACUUCGAAUAGAAGAGUGAAAUAGUCCCUGAAACCAUGCGCCUACAAGCGGUCGGAGCAGCUU
rnacentral:rRNA from 1 species